rnacentral:rRNA from 1 species
CAGUGGGGAAUCUUAGACAAAGGGAGAAAGCCUGAUCUAGCCAUGCCGUGUGAGUGAUGAAGGCCCUAGGGUCUAAAGCUCUUUCAACAGUGAAGAUAAUGCGGUAGCAGUARAAGAAACCCCGGCUAAAUCCGUGCCGCAGCCGCGGUAAUAUGGAGGGGGUGAGCGUUGUUUGGAAUUACUGGGCGUAAAGCGUACGUAGGCGGAUUAAUAAGUUWGAGGUGAAAUCCCAGGGCUCAACCCUGGAAUGCCUUUAAAACUGUUAGUCUUGAGAUCGAGAGAGGUGAGUGGAAUUCCAAGUGUGAGGUGAAAUUUGUAGAUAUUUGGAGGAACACCAGUGGCGARGGCGGCUCCUGGCUCGAUACUGACGCUGAGGUAGAAAGUGUGGGGAGCAAACAGGAUUAGAUACCCCGGUAGUCCACACCGUAAACGAUGAAUGCCAGACGUCAGCAAGCAUGCUUGUCGGUGUCACACCUA